AAGCGUGCGCAGGCGGUUAUAUAAGACAGAUGUGAAAUCCCCGGGCCUCAACCUGGGAACUGCAUUUGUGACUGUAUAGCUGGAGUGCGGCAGAGGGGGAUGGAAUUCCGCGUGUAGCAGUGAAAUGCGUAGAUAUGCGGAGGAACACCGAUGGCGAAGGCAAUCCCCUGGGCCUGCACUGACGCUCAUGCACGAAAGCGUGGGGAGCAAACAGGAUUAGAUACCCGGGU
rnacentral:rRNA from 1 species